AACUAAACCAACAAUCUGUCAGUUUGUCAUAUUUCAUUGUUUUUAUGAGAACUUGUGUUGAGAUGGAUUUAUUUUGUUUAAACAAUUAGAAAUCGUGAAAAUGGGUAACGCUGACACAAAACUUAAUUUUAGGAAAGCUGUCGUCCAGCUUACCUCAAAGACUCAGCCUAUUGACUCCUCGGACGACAGUUUUUGGGAUCAGUUCUGGUCGGAGAGCGUGACCAAUGUCCAGGAUGUGUUCGCACUGGUGCCUGGAGCAGAGAUCCGUGCGUUACGAGAAGAAUCUCCGAAUAAUCUUGCGACACUAGUGUAUAAGGCUGUGGAGAAACUGGUGAAGAUGGUGGACAGCAGCUGCAGGACUCAGAGGGAACAGCAGACUGCACUAAACUGUGCCCGUCUACUCACAAGAGUGUUACCCUACAUGCUGGAGGAACCGGAGUGGCACGGCUUCUUCUGGUCAUCAUUGCCAGCAGCGGCAGAGAAUGAGUCCGUGCCUCUAGCUCAGUCACUCAUCAAUGCUGUUUGUGAUCUCCUCUUCUGUCCUGACUUCACAGUGACGACAACAAAGCGGGCGGGUCCCGAGCGAGCAGAAGAACUGUCUUCACUAGACAGUUGCGAGUACAUCUGGGCGGGAGGCGUGGGGUUCGCGAGGUCUCCGACCCGCGUGUCCCCGCACGAGGCCGCCCGCACUGAGCUACUGCGGUUGUUACUGACUUGCUUCAGCGAGACGAUAUACAAGCCGGCCUCGCAUGCCGCCUCGCAUCAUAAUAAGUGGAUCGCUUACCUGACAAGUCCAGACAACCGUCACGCACUGCCUCUGUUCACGUCGCUAGUGAACACAGUGUGUUCAUACGACCCCGUGGGGCUCGGUCUGCCGUACAACCAUCUGCUGUUCGCCGACACACUGGAGCCGCUCGUUGAGGUGGCUCUUCAAGUAUUAAUAGUCACUUUAGACCAUGACACCAGUAACGCCGUCAAUGAGGAAUCUGACGAAACGCUCCCAGACAACCUGUUCAUCAACUACCUAUCCCGCAUCCAUCGCGAUGAGGACUUCCAGUUCAUCCUCCGAGGAGUCACCAGGCUGUUGAACAAUCCUUUAGCACAGACCUAUCUGCCCAACUCGGCGAAGAAGGUUAAUCUGCAUCAGGAGUUGUUGGUGCUGUUCUGGAAGAUGUGCGAUUAUAAUAAGAAAUUCAUGUACUACGUGUUGAAGAGCAGCGACGUGCUAGAAGUACUAGUGCCCAUAUUGUAUCAUCUCAACGAUUCGCGAGCUGACCAAUCUCGCGUCGGUCUAAUGCACAUCGGAGUGUUCAUCCUCCUACUCCUCUCCGGGGAACGCAACCUGGGCGUCCGGCUGAACAAGCCGUACACGGCGACCGUGCCCAUGGACAUCCCGGUGUUCACGGGCUCGCACGCCGACCUGCUGGUGGUGGUGUUCCACAAGAUCAUCACGACUGGACACCAGAGGUUGCAGCCGUUGUUCGACUGUCUGCUCACUAUACUUGUUAACGUAUCACCGUACCUGAAGACGCUAUCAAUGGUGGCAUCCACAAAACUCCUGCAUCUAUUAGAAGCAUUCAGCACACCGUGGUUCCUGUUCUCACAGCCUCACCACCAUCAUCUCGUGUUCUUCUUACUCGAGAUGUUCAAUAAUAUGAUACAGUACCAGUUUGAUGGAAAUUCCAAUUUAGUUUACACAAUAAUCCGCAAGCGAGCAGUAUUUCAUAACUUGGCCAAUCUUCCACACGAGCACGGAGCCAUCGCUCGUUCGCUAGCGGCCGGCAGGGCUAAGGGGCUAGUGCCCCAUAAGACUACACUACCCAGUUUACAUCAGUCGACCGACCAAACGCCUCUACAAGUCGAUGCAAAGCCCGUACACAACGGAGUUUGUAAGCCAGAGCUGCCCAACCGACGACCGCGGUCUAGAAGCGCGGAAUCGGUAGCUGAGACGCCGAUGGAAGGUUCGAGACCCGCGCAACCUGCGGAACCCGGCACUCUCAACCCUACGCUAGCUGAGACACCCGCAAUAAGCACAAUGACAGAACGCGAAUCAGCGCAUCCUCCACCACAGCGCCUCGAAGGCGACGCGUCCGACACGUCCGACACGAUCGACGCGACGGACGCGACCGACGCGACCGUCCGACACGACGGCGACACUCGCGAGCCGAGGGACAGGCUGCUGCCUGCCAGGGCCGGCCCUGAUGGCGAGGACCGACCUGAUGAUGCUGAUGUGGAUGAAGGGGAGAAGAGGGCUGUGGCACAUAGGAACAGCAUCGCUGUAUCCGGCACUGGUCGCGUGGACAGUCGUGAGUGGCGAGCGAGCGCGGAGUGGGUGUCGAGCUGGCGCGGCAAGCUGCCGCUGCAGACCAUCAUGCGGCUGCUGCAGGUGCUGGUGCCGCAGGUCGAGAAGAUCUGCAUCGACAAGGGUCUAACAGACGAGUCAGAAAUCCUGCGGUUCUUACAACACGGCACACUGGUGGGGCUGUUGCCGGUGCCUCACCCGAUCCUCAUCCGCAAAUACCAGGCCAAUGCUGGCACGGCCGCGUGGUUCCGCACUUAUCUGUGGGGCGUUAUUUAUAUACGCAACGUGGACCCGCCAAUCUGGUACGACACGGAUGUCAAACUGUUCGAGAUCCAACGAGUAUAGACCAUAGACUUCACGACACUGCUUACUUCCCAUUAAAUAAGACGGCGUGAUGAUCUCCAGCCCGAAAGCCGGUAAAUUAUACAUAUGUAUAUUAUGUAGUUUAAUAUAGCCUGUUUUACCUUCUCUGUAUUAGUAACGGAUUUAUCAAAUCGAAUCAAAAUGAUGAUAAAAAUGGGAUAAGUUUAUUAAAAUGGCCCAAACUCUACCAGGUGAAGAAGUUUUUUAACAACCAAUAUAAUUUUUCCAAUAUUCUAACCAUGUAUUGAUUUGCUUACCAGAAAUAGAAUUUUGAAAUUAGACUCAUACUUAUAAUUCCUAUUUCUAGUAAGGAAAGCAACAGAUAAAUAGCAUAUUGAAACGGCCGUAAGUGGGUGGAGUCGAGAUGUUUGAAGAACGAAAUUAUACUAAUUGUUUAAAAAACUUCUCCGCUACGCUGUGGUGGGUAUAGGUCUUUGUCUGAAUAGCAAGGAAGAGGUGAAGCAGGCUUUUAGGCUCGAUUGUAAAACUAAUCUAAAUAUAUUUAAUACUAAAUGUGUUUUAAAAUAUAGUUCUGUCGCUAUCGACUUCAAAUGUGUGAAUUAGGUAGCAUGAUAUUUUAAAUAUAUUUAGUUAUAAAUGUAUUGAGUCAGUAAUUACGCAAACGAGAUGUAACUCCUUAUUAUAAAAUAUGGUUUUAAAAAGUGCCAGGUUUUAACAGUAAUUUUGAAGAUGCAUUAAACCUAGUACUAGAGCUGAUCCUUUUUAGUACCAGGUUUUAUAGUGAGGUUUUAAAUGUUUUUAGUUUUCUUAUUAAUACGUAAAAAUAUAUGUGCAUUACUGAUUUUAGCCUUUUUGUCUGUCGAAGGCUCUACCUUACUUAUGUUUGGCUGCUACCUUUUGUCGUUUUAUUUAAUCCAUUCUUAUGUAAAAGGUUAAGAAAACCGCUUGACUGACAGACUUCGAAUAUGUAUAUCAAGACCAGUAAAUGUAUUAAUUGUGCUAAAUAUUGAAUUAAACCUGAAAAAUAAUCAGAUAACCUAUCAUUCCGAAAUGUUUAUGUAUUUAUUUAUAUGGUUCAAAUACGUAUUAGUGAUAAUCUGUUGAAUUCCUAUUAUUUUUCCCAUUUAUCACUUACCAUACAAUAUGUAUAACUUUAAACAGUUUUUUUAGCCUCUCUUUACCUAGAGAUAUCGUGUCAGUGAAAUGCUGAACACAUAUCGAUGUUACUUUAGUCAAUUGAUUCAGAUGUAACGGACCAUGUCUUAUGAACGCUUUACGUGUUUACUUAAAUAAAUAUAUUUAACUUAAAGCUGACAGCUAGUCAUAUUUUUAAUCUGUGUAUCUGUAAUCGUAAAUGAAUUGCUUGACUUAUGAAUAUAUAUUUCUUGAACGUUCUUAAGUUUAAUUUAUAUUUUAAUGCCGAGUUUAGACGAACAAUGUUUUCAACUGCCAAAAUGACAGCCCAUAAAAGCAACAAAAAAUUGCACCUAAAGUGUUAAUUACAAUAUUAAUGAAAGGACGUCGUAACCUUUUGAGCCGGCUGAAAACAUUGUUCGUCUGCACUUAGACACUAAACUUUGUUAGUGCUGUCAUGACCAAGUUUUCUGUACAAAAAUCUAAAUGUUAUAACUGAUCUUGCUGAUUUUACACUACUACUAUUCCUCAUUUAACCAUGAAGAUGUCUUCUUAUAAAGACAAUCAUAUUGCGUUGAUGGAAAAUUGAUAUACCAUUUUGAGUAAGCACGCCUUUCUAUGCUACCAGUAAUUUAGUGAAAUAGUAGUAAUAAAACAAUUUUAUUGUAUUUAUUCAACCGAAUUAUAAUGAUAUACGAAUUCACUGCAAAAUUAUUUGCAGUUUUAUAUGAAAUAUCGAAUGUUUUUUUUUUGUUUCUGUUUUUUUUUAAUAUUAUGACAAGUAAUCGAGGCUUAUGACAAAUACAAUUAAUUAUGAAUGAUGUACAUACAUUCCAUGUGAUGGUUUUAUUUUUAUCGAUUAUCGACUAUAAUAUUAUUGAGAUAUAACUGUAAAAUAGUUUAUAUGAAUUUAUCACCAAAUUUUAAUAGUUAUAUACUUGCGUAUUUGUGUUAGGCUCGGUUCAUGCGACACGCUCGGUCUUAGAUAAAUUACGCACUAAAAUACUAAGUUCUUACACUAAAAAUAUUUGAUAAUUCUGAGUAAAACGGACCGUUUACCAGUUGUGUCGUGUGAACAAGCUUAAGAGUACCCGUACACUGCAGACAGACACACUACAGUCGACCAACAGUUGCCGCCGAUGCCAAUGGGUUACCAUUUUUUUUAAAGAAAAUCUUGAUUUCUUUUUCAAAGUCUUCAGUCGGUCUGAUACAGCUAAGUACCCGAUCUUUGUAAUGUGCGUACUACCAUUCAUCUUUAUACUGAUUUACGAGCCCUAACAGUCAGCCGACUAAAAGUUUGCAGUAUGUGGGUACUUCUAUUGUAAUGUUCAGUGCACUGUCACACUAAGACUUUAUGUAAAGUAUAGGGGCCUUAGUGGACCAUUAUAAUGAGAGAAUAUGAUAAAUAGUAAAUGUUAAAUAAAUCUGAAAAAUUAUAUGAAUCUACACAAAGUAAUAUGUUCCCGCAGAAAACCUAACCUGGCCAUUUCAAUAUUAAACAAAAUAUGAAAUAAUUUUAAAUUGUUAUUAUUUUCUAGAUCAAUUUAUAGAAAUGAAGGUUUUACUGGUGUUAGAAAGUAAAGAAAUCCACUGCGGCCCGCUUUUAGUGUUAUUUGUAAUUUUAAUAAUUUAUUUGACACAAUCACUGUACUUAAUGUUAUGUAAAAUAGAAAAUAUAUAAUGAUGUGAGCAUGAA